UUGGAGAUCCCUGCCUACCUGAGGUCUUCUCAAGGCUGUGUUGUUGUUUCAGUGUUUACGGGGAUCUCCUGCUCUAGAAGGGAUCUGUGCUAUGGAUUUCUUCAUCAGAAUGAAGGUGGUUGUUCAGUGCUUGAAGAAAGAAUAACAACAAAACCCUGAUCCGGCCUAGAAACUUGCUACUCUGCUGUCACUGCUGUGCUUUCCAUCGUGUUACACCAUGCCAGCAUCUGAAUUCCCUGUGAAAUAGCCAGUUGAAGAUAAAGCUCUCAGCAGCUUUUAACAAGGAGGAAGUUGCGUUGACUUCUUGGCCUUAUUCCUAAAACUACAUUUCUGAGUGCGUUUAAAGGAGGUUUGUCACCGAUUCCUGGACUGCACUCUGGUCCCACGGGGCAACGUUUUGGAGGCGGACAUCAUAUACCUUCAGACCGAGUCUUUGUGUUGAUGUGCCAUUUAUGAGGGCUGGUGAGACCUGCACACUUUGCUUGCGCUACAGGAGGAGAUGAUGGGGAGGCGAAGGGGUAAAGCCUUGAGUCAGGUAACCAGCCUGGAGAAAAAAAAAAAAGAGAAAGAGGAAGAAGGAUUAAGUGGCUUGUGCAAGAUGGCUGAACAAAUGGGACAAAUGGCUGGCAAAGCUCAGGAGUUCUGGAUUCCAUUCUUGUGCUCCAACUGCUGAAUUAAAUUUGUUCUUGUAGAGAAAGAGCUCAUGCUGGUAAGCAUGCGGUAGAGGUGCAAAGGCAUCUUAGUUGUGUCCUCUCAGAGUACAGUGCUGCAGUGUUAUGUCUUGUGUGUUCUUUCCAGCAGAGUCUAGAGAGAGCAGGAGCUUGUAGGACAUUUUAGUACAGUUCGUUAUACUCAAUUAACAAUGUCAUUGAGACAUAGCCUCUACCUCUUCUGUUGAUCCAGAGAGAAGAUUCAUGAUUUUCAGCCCUCCUGUCCAUCCCACAGUGCCUGUAUGUGUCACUAGUUCUAUAGUUUAGUACCUCUAUUUCACAUAAUGGCAUCUAGAAAAAGUGGGAAGCAGAGAGUUGUCAGAACUUGCUGCAGCAAGAAGUAGAUACAGUUUGGGGAUUUGUUCUGUACAGACUACAGCUACUAAACUUAUCUUACAGAGACGAGCCAGCCUAGCAGGGAUCUAUGCUGCAAGUAUGCGCUGAAAUCCCUUUCCCUUUGAAGCAGGGAGAGUUAAACCGUUGACUUUAUUGCAGUUGGGUUACGUCUGUAAAUAGUUCGUAAUACUUGAAUAUUAUUAGUUACUCUCAUGGCCAGAUCUAAGCGUGCUUGAUCUCUGGAGGAAUUUGACUUCGCAUACAGUCAGGCAUUCCUCGUUUCUUAUUAGCUGAGUAAAUGCAUGUGAAGAGAAGCGUGGGUUUGACAUCUUAGCCCAGUUGCUUCUUCCUAAGAGGGUGAUGAAUGCUCUUUUAGAAACUGGGAGAAAUACAGCAUUUCUGAAAAAGAAAUCCACAGUUCAUCUCCCAGUAAGCUAUGGCUGUGACAGCUGAGCAGGGAACACUCAGGCUCUGCAUGAGUUGAAGUCUUUUAUGAUGUGGGACUGUUGGCAUCUGCUCUGCAUGUCACAGAACAUAAGGACAGCAAGUGGGUGGUUCAACAGCUGGGAUGGGAACUGGGGGGGCACGAAGUGAGCUGUCAUCUGAAAGCUUAUAGCAGAGGGAACGGUAUCUGUAAUUUAGCGUGAUUUGUUUCAUAGUGUAUUGAGUUUAUUUCAACACUACCUCUCAUUUUUAAUUCAUCACCUUCUACUCCCCAUUACAAUUGCACACUUGUUCGUUCUUCCAUCCUCUCACAAUCAUGCACACAGACUUCCCUAUGUAUUCACCGUUGAGAAAAGUGAAUAGCAGGUGUGCUUGGUACAUCACAUGCAAAUGCGUGGGCUACAGUACUAGCGCAGGCAGAGCAGCACACAGGUGGAAAACUGGAUGCUAACCAAAGGAGAAUGCCAAGACCUGAAGUGCACUUGGCCUCCAUGGGGAGUGAUCACAAGGUGGUCCAGCAUGGUCUGGUUGGAGAUGGCAGGAAAAGUUGUCCUGCCAUGACUUGACAGGAAAAUAGCUUGGAUAAGCAGACCUGAGGUUUUCUUACGGCUGCUGUUAAUGCUUGCAAUUGGGUUUUAUCACUCAUUAAGUUGUUAGCUGGUUUUGAUCUUUAUUUCAACAAGGCCAGGUUGCUAUAUCUUUAUUGUACGCAUGACAAUGUACUUACAGUCUGUGUUCCUUUUCUAAGAACUGACUCAGUUGCAUCCCGUCUGGGUGAUAUCUCUGGGCAAAUUCCAUAUAGAAGACAUUGGGCAGCCACACCCAGGCCCAGAAUUUUCUCAAAAUCACCAGCGGUGGGUUUUUUGCAGUGGUACCCGUGCAAAAGUAAAGCAUGAAGCUAGCCAUUUUUAUUUGCACUUUCAAAGUACAAAGGCUUGGACUUGGAUGUGUGGGUAGAGAAUCAGUCUAAAAAUAGACUUACCUAACCUGACCUUGCUAUUGAGCUUGAUAUCUAAGAAUCCGUGGGAAUGAUCCCCAGGCCUGAAGUUAUUGCCUGUUGUGAUUUGAGCUGUUUCCCUGUCUGAGGGUAGUGCUGCAUUGUUCUCUUAAAGGUUGUAUGAGUCACAAUUUAUGUGAGUUGCUUUAUCACUCUAAUUAGUCUAGAGAUUGAAAAAAGGAAAAGUAUAUGCAAAAGGUCAAAGGCAAAACAUUAGUAGUCCUUGUAAACUUGUGAGGCGCUCCGUAUGAUUUUCUGUUUGAGAAAUAAAGCACUCCUAGCUCCUU
rnacentral:lncRNA from 1 species